AAACCUUAAUGCUCUCGUUUUAACAGUAUGUUUAUAUACCCUCAAAUAGAAAAACAAAUUAAAUUUCCUACUUAAUUUAUCCAAUUGAUCAACCUCAAAGACAAAGUGAUAUAUUGAAUAUUGCCCUUAUAUGACAUUCUCUAAACGUAUACCGAUAUUCUUGUAGCCGAAAUUCUUAUAGUUUCAAACUACUGCUUUCUCAUGUGUCGUGUUGAGGCUUGCGUUGCAGAGAAUGAGUGCUUCCCACCGAUCAAAAGUCAUCAGACAGGCAUGUGUAGAGUAGAUCAAGGGCAUAUCUUGAAAUGUUCAGAUGAAAGGAGUCUAGUGAUUGUAAUGUGAAAGUGUAAAUAUUACCAAUAAAUGGGACAUGGCCUAAAAGCUUCAGUUUUCAAAUAUUAUUCAACGUACAAAUAAUUUGAACAGAGUCCAGUUUGCAUUCAAUGCAUUGACUGGUCAUCAUGGUUGGCUAUCAUCAAGGUUUUUUCUCCCUCACAUUGGUCUCUUGGGUCGAUUACACAGGAUACUAGAUGGAGGGGUACGGAGGCCUGAGCCGCAGCCUGUGCUUUGGUCCUCUGUCCCAGCCUGCAGAGAGGAUCCUGGCCGCCCUGCGGGCCCAGGCUCUGCCCCCACCCAGAAACAGAAGCAACCACCGCUACAGCCGGCGUGAGUCGAGACAGGAACAGUCGGAGUCACUGUGACCUGGUUUGCAAGAGAGAGACACUAGUGCUUUCCGCCACGAUUACAUGCCAACACAUUUGAAACAAUGGCAGCAGUUCCAAGAUGGAUAUCUGUGGCUGGCCAAAAAUAUCGUAUUGAACUAGUUCCAUUCGCAACCAUUUCAAAUUAAACACUUGUUAAAUAUUGUGAUAAGGCAAUCAAAAAUGGAGUUUACAUAAAUUGAUUCUUGUAGUAUUCUGUAGCGGUCAUUGUUAUGCCGUUUUAUCUCCGAUGUUAGAAGUCGAUGAGGGCUAUGGAACUCAGAGGGAGCACUUGGUGCAGGCUGGCUGGAACACAACUCAGCAUAGGAUGCAAGGCAGGGAAACUGAACGACCUGGCUCGCAAACCCAGCCAUAUUCCUCCUCAUCCUGGCCGAGAACCCCAUCAUACUCAUCCGCGGCCACCAGUUGGGACUCCUCCCAGCAGACAGAUCACUCUCAGAACCCAGACUCCUUUGGCAGUACCUCAAGUAAGACACGGCCGUGCCUUCCCAGCAAAGACUACAACCAGCUCCUGUCCCAGUCUGAUUCCCGCCUCAGGAACCUACCAUACGCGAGCCACACCCUCUCGUCUCCCCAAAGAGCUGUGGUCUUGCCGGCUCCAGGAGGAUCUCAAAGUAAUGGUUGGUCUCUGCACAGGCCUGGCCUGCCUGCUCAGCAAGACACUAGCCCCUGGAAGAGGUGAGCAAGGCAGGGAGGAAUCUGAAAGGUGGUGUCGGUUUACAUUUAUAUUAAAAGCCGAGCCAGUGUAUUUUGCAUGAUUGUGU
rnacentral:lncRNA from 1 species